GACGAACGCUGGCGGCGUGCUUAACACAUGCAAGUCGAACGGAAAGGCCCUUCGGGGUACUCGAGUGGCGAACGGGUGAGUAACACGUGGGUGAUCUGCCCUGCACUUUGGGAUAAGCCUGGGAAACUGGGUCUAAUACCGAAUAUGAUCAUCGGCUUCAUGGUCGGUGGUGGAAAGCUUUUGCGGUGUGGGAUGGGCCCGCGGCCUAUCAGCUUGUUGGUGGGGUAAUGGCCUACCAAGGCGAGGACGGGUAGCCGGCCUGAGAGGGUGACCGGCCACACUGGGACUGAGAUACGGCCCAGACUCCUACGGGAGGCAGCAGUGGGGAAUAUUGCACAAUGGGCGCAAGCCUGAUGCAGCGACGCCGCGUGAGGGAUGACGGCCUUCGGGUUGUAAACCUCUUUCAGCACAGACGAAGCGCAAGUGACGGUAUGUGCAGAAGAAGGACCGGCCAACUACGUG
rnacentral:rRNA from 1 species